AAGUCUCUUGCCUCGCUCGGUCAGUGUGCAUAUCCAUCGCCUGAUCUUGAGCUGGAUACACCUUCUCGUAUUGUGACGAGAGUGUAUGGGACGAGAACAUUGGAGAUUUCCUAUCGAUGAUCUUUGAGUACGAUUCUACAAGCGACAGACGGUGCUUAGAAUUGUAAUUUAUCCGUUGAUACAU
rnacentral:snoRNA from 1 species